AUGUCCGGGCGAGGCAAGGGCGGGAAGGGGCUCGGGAAGGGGGGCGCCAGGCGCCACCGGAAGGUGCUGCGCGACAACAUCCAGGGCAUCACCAAGCCGGCCAUCCGCCGCCUGGCGCGGCGCGGCGGCGUGAAGCGCAUCUCGGGGCUGAUCUACGAGGAGACGCGCGGCGUGCUGAAGGUCUUCCUGGAGAACGUGAUCCGCGACGCCGUCACCUACACCGAGCACGCCAAGAGGAAGACGGUGACGGCCAUGGACGUGGUCUACGCCCUCAAGCGCCAGGGACGGCGCUGGGCGGCUUCUGCCGCUCAUUCUGUCUCUCAGGCAGGGGCUUGUAGUGGGUAGCGGAUGGCGCGGACGAAGCAGACGGCGCGUAAGUCGACGGGCGGGAAGGCGCCCCGCAAGCAGCUGGCCACCAAGGCGGCCCGCAAGAGCGCGCCGGCCACGGGCGGCGUGAAGAAGCCGCACCGGUACCGGCCCGGCACGGUGGCGCUGCGCGAGAUCCGGCGCUACCAGAAGUCGACGGAGCUGCUGAUCCGCAAGCUGCCCUUCCAGCGCCUGGUGCGGGAGAUCGCGCAGGACUUCAAGACGGACCUGCGCUUCCAGAGCUCGGCCGUGAUGGCGCUGCAGGAGGCGAGCGAGGCCUACCUGGUGGGGCUCUUCGAGGACACCAACCUCUGCGCCAUCCACGCCAAGCGCGUCACCAUCAUGCCCAAGGACAUCCAGCUGGCCCGCCGCAUCCGCGGCGAGCGCGCCUGAGGCUCCUGCCUUGCCACCGCCCAACCCAAAGGCUCUUUUAAG